rnacentral:misc_RNA from 1 species
GUUUCAAUGGGGUUGCUUGCACUUGCAUAUUUCAGUGUUUCAAUGAGGUUGCUUGCACUUGCAUACUUCAGCAGGCUUUACUGCAAGUUGUGUAGAAGUUUCAAGAAACAAUUCGACUGGCAGUUAGGGGAGUGGCUUCAAGAGGGUCAACCUUUCUUCGAGGAUAAAUAUGUAUGGCCCGUUUGCCACGCCUUGUUUUCGGCUCCCUCGGCAAGGGUUCCUGUUUUAUGGAGUUCUUUUGCUGCAUUUUCUUCUCCAUUUUCAUCUGGCUCCAAUGGCAUUGAGCAUGGGAGAUCUUGACUGAGUGGGUGCUUAAGAGCGCCUAAAUUAGUAGUUGUUGUUCUCCUUUACUUGUUGAUAUUGAUCAGCAGUGUCCUUUUAUUGCAAGAUUUCUCGUUUCCUCAUAAAUUGGGAAGAUACUCGAAACUUUCUAAGUCACUGCGAGACUUAUUGGACUCCUUUUAGUGAAAGUCCUCGCAAGCAAUCACGACCAGGGGCAGAACUACUCCGGAAGCCAGGGGGUUGAUAAUAUUUAACAAAUCUUCAGGCUAUCACCACCCAUAAGCAAAGCUCCCAGAAAAACGACAUCAGGCCUCAAAACAACGAAAAGCAGGUCGAAGUUUAGAGAUUUGCUGGAAGAGCCAACGGGUGGAGGCUAAUCAGCGACUUCGCCUUUUGUGGUCAGGCGACUAUUAAGAGUAUGUCGGCUAUAUGACCCGUAAGAUGCCCAUCCACACGGCAUCUCAAGCACCCUCCCAGCAGGGCAAUCUUAGAGAAACAACCCAGCCAAGUUCAGGCUGGCGAAGAGCUGUAGACACAAGAAGUAAACCCACAAUAACUAGUCACCUCAGAAAUUGAAGUCACUUGCCCAUAGAAGCAAAAUAGCUACAACAUACCCUCUUCCUUAAAACACUGACUGCUUCCUCAACAAAAAUUAUUUCCAGCCAACCUAGUAGUUGGAGAGGGAGCCCAUACCCUUGGUCAUAGGAAAGUCAGCCUUCCUCUUCCCGGUGUCAGAGGUGACUACUAUUCUAU